ACGUCAAAUCAUCAUGCCCCUUACGUCUUGGGCUACACACGUGCUACAAUGGGCGCAACAAACAGUUACUAAGUGGAGACAUGGAGUUAAUCUGAAAAAGCGUUCUCAGUUCGGAUUGUGGGCUGCAACUCGCCCACAUGAAGUCGGAGUUGCUAGUAAUCCCGGAUCAGCACGCCGGGGUGAAUGCGUUCCCGGGUCUU
rnacentral:rRNA from 1 species